rnacentral:tRNA from 3 species
GGGCGCUUGGUCUAGGGGUAUGAUUUUCGCUUCGCAUCUUCCGUGCGUACUUGUGAAAGGUCGUGGGUUCAAUUCCCACAGCGUCCA